CCAUAAACCAAUAGUUAUUGCGGUCCCUAAGGUGCUCGAAUGGUGACCUCACAUAUGAAGAAGCGCAGCGUUGGAAGA